rnacentral:rRNA from 1 species
AUUGAACGCUUGCGGCAGGCUUAACACAUGCAAGUUGAGCGGAGUGAUGGUGCUUGCACUAUCACUUAGCGGCGGACGGGUGAGUAAUGCUUAGGAAUCUGCCAUUUAGUGGUGGACAACAUUCCGAAAGUAAUGCUAAUACCGCAUACGUCCUACGGGAGAAAGCAGGGGAUCUUCGGACCUUGCGCUAAAUGAUGAGCCUAAGUCGGUUUAGCUAGUUGGUGGGGUAAAGGCCUACCAAGGCGACGAUCUGUAGCGGGUCUGAGAGGAUGAUCCGCCACACUGGGACCGAGAGGCGGCCCAGACUCCCACGUGAAGGAGCAGUGGGGAAGAUUGGACAAUGGGCGGAAGGCUGAUCCAGCCAUGCCGCGUGUGUGAAGAAGGCCUUUUGGUUGUAAAGUACUGUAAGCGAGGAGGAGGCGCUGCCAGUGAAUACCUAGGAAGAGUGGACGUAACUCGCAGAAUAAGCACCGGCUAACUCUGUGCCAGCCGCCGCGGUAACAC